rnacentral:rRNA from 1 species
AGUGAACGCUGGCGGUAGGCCUAACACAUGCAAGUCGAACGGCAGCACAGUAAGAGCUUGCUCUUACGGGUGGCGAGUGGCGGACGGGUGAGGCAUACAUCGGAAUCUACUUUUUCGUGGGGGAUAACGUAGGGAAACUUACGCUAAUACCGCAUACGUCCUACGGGUGAAAGCAGGGGAGCUUCGGACCUUGCGCGAUUGAAUGAGCCGAUGUCGGAUUAGCUAGUUGGCGGGGUAAAGGCCCACCAAGGCGACGAUCCGUAGCCGGUCUGAGAGGAUGAUCCGCCACACUGGAACUGAGACACGGUCCAGACUCCUACGGGAGGCAGCAGUGGGGAAUAUUGGACAAUGGGCGAAAGCCUGAUCCAGCCAUACCGCGUGGGUGAAGAAGGCCUUCGGGUUGUAAAGCCCUUUUGUUGGGAAAGAAAAGCAGCAGGUGAAUACCCCGCUGUUCUGACGGUACCCAAAGAAUAAGCACCGGCUAACUUCGUG